ACUCCAGUCUGGAAGGGAACACCCCCACCCCUCCGCUCCCAUCCCCAGAAGUCCCUCUGAAGCUCUUUUUUUUCCGGAAGAGGACCCUGGGAAUGUGGCUCCCGCCCCACUCCUAGAGUGAGGUCCUCGCAGCCCUGCCCUCGCCAGCGGAGCAGAGACGCCGCUGCCUGACCGGUUCACCUUUGUCACACAAAGCCGCCGAAGGUCGGGUGCGUCCCUAAGUCUGAUAGGCGAGAUCCCUGCUCUCAAGAACUUACGUGGGGGAGAAGGGGCGGCAAGACAAACAGAGGGAGAAACUAAACCCCAAAAGGUUGGUCUGUAUGGUGAUGGAAGGGGGUCUCCCAGUUUUCAGCAUAGCACUCAUUCUGCUAUUCCACACUUCAGAAAGCAGGAGGGAUAUGCUCUUCAAGUGGAUUACUGAAAUGAUGAAAGCCCCUGAGGAAGAGCCAGAGAAUCUCCCAGCUCUAAUUAGACAUCAACCUGGGGCAUGCUCGAGAUUUCAGCCUGGACACUCUGAAAGGAGCCAAUGCCAUUGAUGACAGCUGCUUCUGCCUAGGCUUUUGCUUGGGCAGAGGGGCAGGACCCUCUCCUUAGCAUUUUGAGGAGUGGCGCCAGGUGGGCAGUGACUGCACUAGCAACAGUCUGUCCCAAGGGAAGGCCUCAAAUUCCCAGAGAAGAAAGGCAGCGAGGCCGAGAAACACGCCUCUUAACAAGUGAAGAUGCAAACGGGAGAAGACGAGCUGCAAGGGAGUUUGGACUUUACUACCUUCUCUCCUAGCAUUGCGUGGAUUUUCUUUGCUGUGAUUAUUCUUCAUGAAUCAUCAUCCAUAGAAAGUGACUGAGGCAACAGAGAGUGAAUAAUGAAUCCCUCAAAUAGUCUUCUGUGUUUCUGCCUGGAGGAUUUUGGAAAUAACUUGCAUCUUAAUCUUUCUGACUUAGAAUCAUAGAAUUUGGGAGCUGAAAAGGACCUUCAUCAGGGCAUGUGACCUCCUAGAAAUACUGGAAGAAAAGAUAUGUGGGUAUGAACCUCUGGUUCAACACUAAAAAUAGGCCUAGCCAAACAUAUACUGAAGGCUUUCCUUGUAUCAGGAACUCAUUUAUUCUUCUCUUUAUUCUUCCCAAACGCUGGGUGGUAGGUGCUCCUAUUCCUCCCUUCUGCAGAGGAGGAAGGGAGAUGAGACAGUAGGGCACCGAGAGGGGCGUGCUGGAACCCUCACGUGGGACUGGCCCUGCUCCAGAUUCCACAUCCUCUCACUCAUUCCGCUACCUCAUCAAGUUGCUUUGGACAAGUCAUUUAACUUCUUUGGAUCUGUUUUCUCCUCUGUGAUCUCUAAAGUUUAAAAAUUGCUAACAGUCUGCAUCUGCCACCCGAGCAUGUGAUAUAACAAGUCAGGAAAGUGUAGUGCAGAAAUGUUAAGUCACUUGCCCUAGGUCCCCCAGGUUGCUAAGGGCAGAAUCAGCACGAAAACCCAGGCCCAGUGACCGCUGCCCUCAGGCAAGGCCUCUCUCCCUUCCACGGCUCUGUGGCAGGUGUUCUAGGGGAAUCCAAUACCUUGCCUUAGGGGAGACCUGUUCCAUGAUAUCAGAUAGACUGGAGGUGUUAGGUUUUGAUGUGGCCAGUCAUGACACCAGGAUGAGCUUAGGGGGCUGGCGAUUCUUGUCUAUCUAAGCACCUCCAACCUGUCUGUCUGUCUGCUGUUUGUCUAUCUUUCUCAGGCCAUACACAGUGAUCAAACCCCACCUGGUAACCAGAGGGAAAGAAAGAACGUGACUGGUGUGUUACAUCUAUGCACGCCCCCUGGUGGUAUUUCCAGUCGUUUGUCCUCUUCAUGCAAAUGUUGCCACCUUGUGCCAGCUCUGUCACCCAGCUUCCUUCAUGACGACAGUGGCUGCAGUUCUGCUCCUCUCUCCUCCUUCCCCUGUCUUUGGCUCCCUCUGUCCAGAAUCUGGUCAUUGACUGGUGUGCAGCCUGGGAUGUGAUGUGUGCCUUGGGAGGAGACAGGGCCCAACACAGGAUCUCAGCUGUGCUCUGGUAAUCAGCGUGCACCACCGUUACAAGCAUCCCCGUCCCAGUAUCCUCUCUACUCAAAGAGAUGGGAAAGGGGUGGAUGUGCCAAUAAACGUAUCAUUGGAGGCAUCUGAAAUGAGAACAA